rnacentral:rRNA from 1 species
UACGAAGGGGGCUAGCGUUGUUCGGAAUUACUGGGCGUAAAGCGCGCGCAGGCGGCUAUCCAAGUCAGUGGUGAAAGCCCGGAGCUCAACCUCCGGAACUGCCAUUGAAACUGUUUAGCUUGAGGACGAGAGAGGUGAGUGGAAUUCCCAGUGUAGAGGUGAAAUUCGUAGAUAUUGGGAAGAACACCGGUGGCGAAGGUCGGGCUACACUGGCUCGUAUCUGACGCUCAGGCGCGACAGCG